CUGGGAACGCAGGGCUGGGGGAUCUGCCAGCUGCUCGCAGGGAUUAGCACAGGGGCACAUCUGCAGAACAUCCCAAGGCAGAAGCAAGAUAGAAAGAAUAGCAUGAGAUCAGCUCGGUCAUCUCGGAGACAAUGAGGAACACGCACAGAAAGUAUAAAUCAGCGCCCUUCCUGAUGGAGAAGAAUAGCACAGGGGUGUGGGGACACAGCUGCAGGGAGUGGGGCUGUGGCAGCGGGCAGUGGAAGGAGCAGCAGGGAAGGGAUGGGGGACAGAGGUGUCACCAACAGCAAAGGGCAAGCGGAGGCUUGGAGGUGCCGCUGAGUGUGACUGGGCAGGGACAGCAGGUGGAGGGGCCCUGUGGGCGAGGAGCUGAAGCAGACAGAAGGUUUGGGGCGAUUCUAACAAGAAAUGGAAUUUUUUGAAAAUUGGCGUUUCGGGGAACUGCUAACAUCAGCAACAGCCGUCUCUCAGCCUCCCCCUCCCUCGGCCGCACGGAACUGCAGCCGGUGACCAACGUCAGCUGUUCUCUUACUCAUCCUGGCUGCAGCAGUGAUAUUCCACUCUGUGUUAUACAACGCCUGCUGCUCACCCCCAGCCCUGGGCUCCCGACCGCGGGAUGCUGGUUACCUCUUUGGAGGAACGAUCCCCAUUAAGUUAUUCCCCACACAGUGUGGCCUCCAAAGGCACAGAAGGGCUGAAGCACACACGAACACCACAGGGUGAAGGGUUCCCAGGGCGCUUCCAGGACACGUCCUGGUGCACCACCCCACAGCUGAAGGCUGGAAGCAAGGUCACAGCCUGGGGGCCUCUGUGCACCGAGCACGGUGCUGCAGCCUUACUUCUGGAUGAGAUGAGAUGAACCUCAGCAAAGCAGCUGACCUCAGGCACAGCACUGCCC
ensembl:lncRNA